AGUAGAAGCAUUUGCUUCGUGUGAAUGUCUAUGAAUUGAAACCAAUUUGAACGUUAUCAAUAUCGCUGAGACGCUGUCUGCAAUGGAGCGCAAAGGUUUAAACGCUGCGGAUAUUAACCUUACACUUCGUCAGCAAAUUAUCAGACACUGUUAUCAAUAUCGCCAUGGCGCUGCUAUAGCGGAGCUUAAAGGUUUACACGCUACGGAUAUUAACCUUCAACUUCACCAAACAUAUACGGCACAUCGAACCUUGAACUUCAUCAGCAAAUUACUCAACGACGGAACACGGCAUACUGAACCUUGAACUUCAUCAGCAGAAUACUCAGGAAACAGAUACGGCGUACUGGUGGCUAAAAUGGCGAAUUGAUGAAUUGAUCGAGGUUUUUUCACUCGAAGCUAUUUAUUUUUUAAACAGAAAUUAUUAUGUUCGAAAAAUAUAUUUAGGUUUAUAAAUUGGAACAAAAUUGAACAAUAAUUUGCACACUAUCAGUGUCUGCACACUAAGACACUGAUAGGUGGAGAGUAAAGGGUUGAAUGCUAGGGAUAUUAACCUUGAAUUUUAGCGGCAAAUUGCUCUACAAACACACAUAGCAUACUGAACCUUGAACUUCGUGAGAAAAUGAGUGGUCAAGCAGGUAUGGCGUAGUGGAGACUGAAACGGGAGAUUGAUGAAUUGAUUCAGUUUUUUAAAAUCAAAGGUAUUUAUUUCGGGACUUCGUCAUUUGUACUUUACAAUUUGUCCAGCUGGACAUUUGGUAAAUUUUUCUAACCUAAUUGCUAAAUAACAUUGUGGAUGGCUACCCCCAGCGGGAUACUAUCUUCCAGUUUGUCUAUUUUAAGCACUCAAAGUUUUCUCUUUUAUUGUUAUUAUUAUUAUUAUUUAAUUUGUACUUUACAAUUUGUCCAGCUGGACAUUUGGUAAAUUUUUCUAACCUAAUUGCUAAAUAACAUUGUGGAUGGCUACCCCCAGCUGGAUACUAUCUUCCAGUUUGUCUAUUUUAAGCACUCAAAGUUUUCUCUUUUAUUAUUAUUAUUAUUAUUUAAUUUGUACUUCACAAUUUGUCCAGCUGGACAUUUGGUAAAUUUUUCUAAUCUAAUUGCUAAAUAACAUUGCGGAUGGCUACUCCCAGCGGGAUACUAUCUCCGAGUAGUCAAAGUGAACGCUCGAACUUGGUCAGAGAGUUACUCGACAAACGGGAACAACGUGUUGAGCCUCCAACUUCAUCGGCAAAUUACUCUCGGCAAACGUGUACGGUAUACGAGACUGAAACGGAUGGCUGACGAAUUGAUUAAGUUUUUCUACAAUCGAAGGUAUUUAUUCUGCGACUUCAUCGGCAAAUUACUCGACAAACAGAUACGGUGUACGGGACUGAAACGAGCGACCGAUGCCACGAAUAAGGAGAAAGAAAGAGGCACAGGUAGAAAAAGAGGACGUGGACAACUAGAACACGACUGAGAGAAGGGCACAAUGUUAAGGUGAAUAGGAGCGAGAGAACAAGGGGGAAGGAUAUCCGACUUACUAAUUGCGACGACGUCGGUGGUCCGUAGACGCACCGCGGGCCAUGACGAAAAGCGAUAUGGCCAGAGCAGAGACCGACCAAGGCCACGCCGUGAUACAUCUCCGUGGUUAACCCGAAUCGAAAUCAUAAAUCCAGCCAGGACCGGACGAUUCGCAGCGUUUCCCUCAAGGUAGUCUGCGUACGAAGUCGCGCUUGUUUGCCGUGGCCCAAGUUAACACUUUAACUGCCACGUUGGUCAUAUAUGACCCGCCAGGGUUUCUCCUAUGACGCCACGGUUGUCAUUGGUAACCGGAGCGUUUGAACUUCUUCCAAUUGUAAAAAUUGCAUGAAAAUCGACAGUUAGGGAAUUUUGAAUAUAACCGAUAAAUAGAAGAUACCUUGAAAUAAAAAGUGCCCCAUUGAACAAUUAAACAUUUCUAUUAGAACAUCAAUAAGAAGAAAAUGAGAACAAAUCUUGCAUCUAACGGUGCACUGUGUUAAAACACUUUAAACAUAAAUGUGGCUCAUCAAUACAAUCUGGACAAUAGGUGAUCACCUGAUAUUAGUUGUCGUUCUUAUCACUUGUUAACGUUUAUCCUAUAACUUAACUUAACUUAACUUGUAUCCUAUAAUGUGUUAUUGUGUUACUUAUCAGGCUUGUAUCCAUUACCACCUAAUGACAAAAUCUGUAAUCACUUAGUUGCCAACCCAAUAGAUAUAGAAAAAGAAAGAAGAAAAUUAGGUGGUUAAUUCUGUUAUUAAUUGUUAAGGUUGACUGAUAGAAGAACAAGUGGAUGAAUUUCCAAUAGAAAAAUAUAUUGAAAUAAAUAAAGGUAUAAGUAGAAUGUAUCAGUUUAUGCUGAUGCAAAUCCUUACUCUCUUAGUGUUACAAUACAAUAGAAAAAUAGGGAGCACGUUCAUAUAUUUAUAGUAAAAGAACAUUAUCAAAAAAGUUAACCUUAUAGCUCUAACUAAAGGUUACAAGGAACAUAGAUAGAAAUCUACUUAUUACUUCCUUUGUUCCAAAUCCUUGUAACCCAAAACAUAAUUUAUAUUCAAGGGCACAAUAAUAUGCACCUCUCCUUAUUUAGAAUAUUUUUUUUCUCUAAAUUCUAUUUUCUGGGUGAUAGCUGUCUUUUAAGGUCACGAAUAUAUAUAAAUAAAGAUUUAUAGUUUUUCUUGAAGUAAUUACUUCAACAUUAGUAAUUCUGAGUUCUGUCAGAAUUCUGAACAUCUACAAAGUUGCAAUUAGGUUAAGAAAAUGGCGUCAGCUGUUGCAAAGGAUCGGUGAAAAAUGAGAAAUAAAGUAGAAGCAUUGGAGACAUCGAUUAAAAUUCACAGAAUACAAACCGCACCGAAUUGCGAUUUUUUAAAACACAAACAAAUAAAUAGUUAAUACUUGGAAUAAUAAUUAAUUACAUUUAUAGCUACUUAUAACCUAUAAUAAUAAUAUCCAACAUAUUUAUCUAUUUU